rnacentral:tRNA from 1 species
GCUGAAGUAGCUCAGCUGGUAGAGCAGCGCAUUCGUAAUGCGCGGGUCGGGGGUUCGAAUCCCUUCUUCAGCACCA